UACGUAGGGUCCGAGCGUUGUCCGGAAUUAUUGGGCGUAAAGAGCUCGUAGGCGGUUUGUCGCGUCUGCUGUGAAAUCCCGAGGCUCAACCUCGGGCCUGCAGUGGGUACGGGCAGACUGGAGUGCGGUAGGGGAGAAUGGAAUUCCUGGUGUAGCGGUGGAAUGCGCAGAUAUCAGGAGGAACACCGGUGGCGAAGGCGACAUCCUGGACCGGUAUUGACGCUGAGGCGCGAAAGCCAGGGGAGCAAGCGGG
rnacentral:rRNA from 1 species